CCUAAGUGAUGGAGGCGGGGCGGGGCGGGGCGGGGCGAGAUGGGGCAGGGCAGGGCAGGGCGGGGCGGGGGCCAUGGGGCGGGGCAUGAAGGCAGGACACCCACGCCAUCAACGCACGGCCAUCAACAAGGGCGCCAUGCAGGUAAGGCAGGAAGGAGGAUGGGAAAGAAGAUGGGGAAGAGGAUAUAUAGGAAGAGGAAAGAAAGGGGGAAAGGGCAAGAAGGGAGAAGGAGGAUGAGAGGGGGUAAAUGGGGCAGGGUAGAAAGGGAAGAGGAACGAGGAAACAAAAAGUGGAACGUGGUGGGAUAAAGGAGAAGGGCAGCAAAGGAAGAGGAUAGGGGAAGGGGGAGAAGGCAAAAAGGGGAAGGAAGGGUAAAAGGAGGAAAGGGUAAUAGGGAAGGGGGGGUAGAGGGGAACGAAAGAAAGAUGGCAGGGAAGGGGGAAGGGAAAGAAAGGAAGGAGGAGGGGGGGAGGACACGAGGGGAAGAGAAGGGGAAAGGGAAGAGGAAAUGGCAGGAAGAGAAGAUGAGAGGAAGGGAAAAAGGGCAGGAACUGGGGAGGAAAGGAAGGGGAAAGAAGGAAUGGAAGAGGAAAGAAUGAGGAGGAAAUUAAAAAGGAAAGGGAAAGGGAGAAGGCCAGGAAGAGAAGAGGAUAAGGGAUGGGUGGGAAGGGGGAGUUAGGUAGGGUCAAUGAGACGGAUAUGAGCACUGAGGCCACGCGUAUCAUAGCGCAUACCCCAAACUUUGCCCUUACCUGUCUAUCUUAACACCUUCUCCUGGGUUUGUUUGUCUCUGUCUGUAUGCUUGGAUAUAUACUCGUGUGAAGAUUGUUAGGUUUGGUUAGGUCGAGUGGUGCUUACGUAUAUAGUCAUGCAUGGAUCGACCUACCAAGACUAUGAUGUGUUCAACUGAGGAACAAGGACAAGAGGACAAGAAAGAUGGGAGAGGAGGAGGAAGAAGAGGAAAAAAACUAAGAAUACAGGUCAUGAUGAAAGAUUGAGGACAAGAAAGAUGGGAGAGGAGGAGGAAGAAGAGGAAAAAAGCUAAGGAUACAGGUCAUGAUGAAAGAUUGCGGACAAGAAAGAUGGGAGAGGAGGAGGAAGAAGAGGAAAAAAGCUAAGGAUACAGGUCAUGAUGAAAGAUUGAGGACAAGAAAGAUGGGAGAGGAGGAGGAAGAAGAGGAAAAAAACUAAGAAUACAGGUUAUGAUGAAAGAUUGAGGACAAGAAAGAUGGGAGGAGGAGGAAGAAGAGGAAAAAAACUAAGGAUACAGGUUAUGAUGGAAGAUUGCGGACGAGAGAAAGAUGGGAGAGGAGGAGGAAGAAGAGGAAAAAAACUAAGGAUACAGGUCAUGAUGAAAGAUUGAGGACAAGAAAGAUGGGAGAGGAGGAGGAAGAAGAGGAAAAAAACUAAGGAUACAGGUUAUGAUGAAAGACUGCGGACGAGAGAAAGAUGGGAGGAGGAGGGAGAAAAAAGAACACCGUCCCACCUUUGUUAUGGACACCGUACCCGUCUCGGCAUUAACGCAGCGCCCUAGCUCCCCACUAUGUGACCCCUCGCCACGCACGUCAGAGCAACGAGGCCGCAAAAUUCAUCGUCAUGAUCGUAAAUUACCCAACUUAUGUAUCAGGUGCUGCCCUCUUAUGGAAUCCUCAAGCUUUCUAUUUCAAAGUGACGUUCAAGAUCACUUUUAAAUGACGCACACUUAUUCUUAAUAUGUUUGUUUUCUCGCAAUGAAUAUAUUAAGACUGCUAAAAAUGCAUAUGCCUCUUCUUUUCAGCACGUCAUUCGUUGCCACUGUAACUAUCUGCGUUCUGGUUUAAUAAUGCACGCAAGAGGAGGCGCUGACCAAAUUUAGUUUAAUUAAAGCAGUGUCGAUUGUUGUGUCAUGUACAUGCUUAAUCAGCGUUGGCCAGCAGUGUGCCUAGUUGAAGUCAAUCUCACUGUACUCUGACAUUAGAAAAUCAUUGCAAAUUAGUUUGUCUUCUGCCGAGUGACGGAAGAUUACCUACAUGCUGUCCAGAUCUUCUAUCGACCCUAACUUCAACGACCUCAGUCAAGAGGAGGACCGGAGGCUAUCAUGGGCCAAGCAAGUCAUACAUAACAGCAUCCACUGAAAACAAACUUCACCUGCGCCACGAACGGGCUGGGGCCAUCCACCAGGCCCCGCAACAAAACCUACCGGAGGCAAAACAUACAAAAAAAAAAAAAAAAACCCGGCCCCAUUCCAUCAUUAAUCCCGCACCAACCUCACAGCCGCCCACGUACUCUUAUCUCGAUCUCUCACUCCCCCAACCUCUCUUCCUCCAUCUCAAAUGCUACCUCCUGCUUUCCUACUUCCCAGCCCUGGUUCUUCUGUCCGUUCUUUCCUAUUCCACUAUUCCCAACCUUAUCGUAUCUCGCUGAUCAGCUUUGUUCUCUACGAUGUUCAUUAUUUUUUUUUACAUCAGAGGACACGUCACACGGCUCAAGGGCAAUAAAGAGAGUACAAAAAAAGCCCGCUACUCGCCGCUCCUAUAAAAGAUAAAAGUAAAGAGUAGCCAAAAGAGAGGUCAAUUUCGGGUGGAGAGGUGUCUUGAUACACUCUUCUUGAAAGAGGUCAAGUCAAAGGCAGGAGAAAAUACAGACGAAGGAAGGCUGUUCCAGAGUUUACCAGUGAAGGGGAUGAAAGAAUGGAGAUGCUGGUUAACUCUUUCAUAAGGUGUUUGGACAAUAUAGGGAUGAGCAUGAGUAGAAAGUCGUGUGCAGUGGGGCCGCGGGGGGGGUGGAGGCAUGCAAUUAGCAAGUUCAGAAGAGCAGUCAGCAUGAAAAUAUCGAUAGAAGAUAGAGAGGCAACAUGGCGGCGGAAUUUAAGAGGUAGAAGACUAUCAGUAAGAGGAGGAGAGCUGAUGAGACGAAGAGCCUUUAAGAGGAGAGCUGUGUGAGUGGAGCCCACCCGCACGUGAGAUGGAUCAUUAUAAUAUUAGCAGUUUUCGCUCCAUCGACAUGAACUUAAUUACGGUACCUAAUGACCCACAAAAUUACAAAAUUGGUAACCUAACCCCGCCAGUUGUGUGUGGCUCGCAUGUGGGCCAGCGAGGAAGUAGUCAACACAACAUGGCGUCCGCUUACCUAUUAACAUUAGCCAAAUACAUUUUAUCGUGUAAAGUAUUUCAAAUCAUCAUAAGUAGACACUGCAGGCUACGUAUAACGCGAAUGUAAAACUUGGAAAGCAGCUCCGUGCGUUUUACGGGCGGUAGCCUCAAUAACCCCCUAACUCACUCCUUGAAUCAAUUAAGUUCAAAAUGGCUGCCAGUAAUGAGGGAGAAAUUUCUACUCAUCAGAUCAAAUCUAAGAACCUGAAAGUUAAGAUACGAUAUGCAGGGUGCCUCACAGCCCACGCGUUUGAAUUAUGAGGCUUUGAAGAGCCCAGUGUAAAUAAUUAGGCCUAUUGGUUUUCAAUUAAAACAUUAUAAUUACAUUAUGGUUAUUCCAACCCCUGAACUAUUAAGGUUUUCUUAGGAGUGAAAAUUGUUUUAAUUCGUUUUACGUUGUUAUCAGAAACGCGUGAAACGAGAGCUACCUGCAUCUGUCCCGGCCCUUGCAGAGUGCCUAUCACCUCUGGGUACGCCACUGGCCCCAAUAACAGUCUAGCUCCAGUAGGUCAGCAGUUGUCGACCAGGGAAGCGUGAGAGUGAAUGAGGAAAAGAUCAAUUUGUCCAUCUGGCAGCAUAGUUGAGCCAAACAGACAUUCAUACAAGUUUGGGAAUAAGGUAAAGCAAAGCUAAGGAUGCCAGGGACAGCCGGUGCAGGAGUGAGUCGGCAUGCGCCCGGCGCCGAGUAGGAUUGCGAAGGGCCUACCCGGUUUUAUUCUCCCGC